AUUGAACGCUGGCGGCAGGCUUAACACAUGCAAGUCGAGCGGGGUGAUGGUGCUUGCACUAUCACUUAGCGGCGGACGGGUGAGUAAUGCUUAGGAAUCUGCCUAUUAGUGGGGGACAACAUCUCGAAAGGGAUGCUAAUACCGCAUACGUCCUACGGGAGAAAGCAGGGGAUCACUUGUGACCUUGCGCUAAUAGAUGAGCCUAAGUCGGAUUAGCUAGUUGGUGGGGUAAAGGCCUACCAAGGCGACGAUCUGUAGCGGGUCUGAGUGGAUGAACCGACACACUGGGACUGAGACACGGGCCAGACUCCUACGGGAGGCAGCAGUGGGGAAUAUUGGACAAUGGGGGGAACCCUGAUCCAGCCAUGCCGCGUGUGUGAAGAAGGCCUUAUGGUUGUAAAGCACUUUAAGCGAGGAGGAGGCUCUUUUGGUUAAUACCCAAGAUGAGUGGACGUUACUCGCAGAAUAGGCACCGGCUAACUCUGUGCCAGCCGCCGCGGUAA
rnacentral:rRNA from 1 species